rnacentral:piRNA from 1 species
AAGGUAAAGCAAUUGCACGAAUCGAAGCAU